rnacentral:rRNA from 1 species
GACGAACGCUGGCGGCGUGCUUAACACAUGCAAGUCGAACGGGAUUUAGUAAACGGAAGCCUCGGUGGAAGAUUACUAAUGAGAGUGGCGAACGGGUGAGUACCGCGUGAGCAACCUGCCUAUGACAGUGGGAUAGCCUCGGGAAACCGGGAUUAAUACCGCAUAAAAUCGUAGAAACACAUGUUUCAACGGUCAAAGAUUUAUCGGUCAUAGAUGGGCUCGCGUCUGAUUAGCUAGUUGGUGAGAUAACAGCCCACCAAGGCGACGAUCAGUAGCCGGGCUGAGAGGAUGAACGGCAACAUUGGAACGGAGACACGGUCCAAAAUCCUACGGGAGGCAGCAGUGGGGAAUAUUGCACAAUGGGGGAAACCCUGAUGCAGCGACGCCGCGUGAACGAAGAAGGUAUUCGUAUCGUAAAGUUCUGUCCUAUGGGAAGAUAAUGACAGUACCAUAGAAGAAAGCUCCGGCUAAAUACGUG